rnacentral:lncRNA from 1 species
GUCUUUUGAGGGAGAAUUAUCACAUGUAUCAGGUGUAUCAGCUUAUAAUGUUUUUCAAGUAUUUUGCUGUAAAGGAAGCUGUUAGGAAGGAGGGCACUUACUCCAGCCCAGCUUCCAUCCACCCCUGCCCAUGGCCCAGGAGCUCCAGCUCACCUCAGCCUGGGACUGUCUGACCUUUUCCCAACAAUGCCAUAGGAGUGAAAUCUCCAACUCCUUCUCUGACCCCGUGUCCUUCUGCUCCUGGAUGGAUCCCUUGGAAGAAAUCCUUCCCAGCUGCCAGCAGACAAAGCCCAAUCCCUUUGCACAGCAGAGGUGCUGUGAACUAAUAUUAGUGUCAAGCCUCAUUGUCUACAUCCAAGGAGAAAAAUGUUAAGUUUUCAAGAUCAAUGAAGAUCAUCUACUUUCAUGAUGCAUUGUUCUCACUAACAGUGAUGUACGGGAAGCACCUGAGAGUUAAUCUAGAAACUUCUUUGGCCAGGACACAACAAUAUCUCUUGGUUGUUGAUGCGUGGUCUGGCAGCUGUUGCUGCUAAUCUGGUUAUCAGGGCCUGCAGGUGUAUCUGUAUUUACACAACUGGCUUCUAAGGACCUACAUUUAUCAAGUAAUGAUUUAUACUCUACAGAUUGCUUGGGUUUUUAAUUUUUUUAAAAAUAUUUUUUAUUGAACACUGAGGAUAAGAAAGAAUGAGGGAAGCCUAGUCUAUUUUCAUGUAGGUUCAAGGUUUAUUAAAUUCCCCUGCAUCAGUUUACAUUCCUGGAUGUUCCUGUCUGUGCUGGGAUGAGUCAGUGGGGAGAGCUGGCAGCAGUGAGGUUUAGGUACCACAUGCAGCUGUAGGACCCACCAGAGCUUAGUUCUGCAUGGGGCCAGUGCCACAUGCUGCUGCUGGGUGCUGACAGAGGAUUUGGGUGCUAGAGCCUGUGAAUUUGGAUCUCCUGCCUUCAUGACCUGAUAUGAAAUCUCCUCCUGGCGUUGCCCUGCACUGGGAGAGGGUGCAGGGAUGGUGCUGCCAGAAUAGACAUGCCCACUGCAGUGCCAUCAGGGUGCAUCCAGAGGGAUGAACUUCCUGCCUUUCAUUUCAUGCUUUUCUCCCCUAGAUCAUAGGGAAGGUAAGGGUGGGUCUGGCAGACAGUGCCCUGGGCAAUGUCUUAUUUGAGGAGUCUGCAGGGUAUACAAAUGAAUACUCCUCUUCAGUUAUACUGGGAUAAGGAAUAAUAAAGCUUCUGCACGCCCUUUCA